rnacentral:misc_RNA from 1 species
CGCAUAUUGCGCCCUCUGGUAUUCCGGAGGGCAUGCCUGUCCGAGCGUCAUUAUCAACCCUCGAGCCCGGCUUGGUGUUGGGUCCCGUCGGCGUCACGGCCGGACGGACCUGAAAGGGAAUGACCGAACCUCCGUGGGCCUCGGACGCAGCGAGCUUUUAGCAUGCGUUUCCGUGGUCGCGGGGCGUUGGUCUGACCAACAUCUUUCUGAUUGACCUCGGAUCAGGUAGGGAUACCCGCUGAACUUAA